rnacentral:rRNA from 1 species
UACGAAGGGGCUAGCGUUGCUCGGAAUUACUGGGCGUAAAGGGUGCGUAGGUGGCGCUGUAAGUCAGGUGUGAAAAUUUCGGAGCUUAACUCCGAAACUGCAUUUGAUACUGCGGUGCUUGAGGACUGGAGAGGAGACUGGAAUUACGGUGUAGCAGUGAAAUGCGUGAGAGAUCGUAAAGGAAGACCAGUGGCGAAGGCGGGUCUC